AUGAUUAGCCAGUUUGCUGAGGCCCACCUCUACCUCCCUCCUUCUCUAUCAAAGCAAAGGGCUGCUCCUGAACCAAAGUCUGGAAGCUUCUGUGAGAAUCAAGUUGACAUGCGGCCUCUUGGUCGUGCCCUUCUGCAGGCCCUCCAGUAUCUGCCCAUCUCCAAAGUCCUGAGUGUAGUCAAUGAACUCCCUGAAGUUGGUCAGGAGGAUGAAAAGGUCCGUGUUGACGACAUCCAGGGUUCUGCAUCUCCAGGCUGUAUGGAUACCAGCAUUUCAGAGCCGACGAGAACAGAAGCUGCUUUCAUCUUGUCCCGACACGCAACAGAAACAGAAGAACUGAAACCUCAGCUGAAGCUCCUGCUCUCCCAUUUCGGUAUCCCCUAUGACGUAGAGGGGCUAAGGGACGCUGCUAAGGACACAGAACUUUUAUUCCUGGUUUCCCAAAAAUUUCAAAGCAUCUUCAUGGAGCAACAGAGAAUGCAAACAUUUCCAGAUUAUGAUGUUGGGAGAACUAAAGCAGAGAAUUUGGGUUUGGCAGGACCUAGUAUGGCCUUGAAAAAGAGAGCCAACUGGACUUCCUUUAUAAAGAUUAAGCCAAAAUGUGAUCCUUGGCAAAAGAAGCUUUUGACCAGACUAAAAGAACGGAGAAGAAUAGAUGUAUUAAUGCAACUCCAAGCGAAGUUUUUGAAGAUUUCCAACCCUGAGCGAGUAAUGCAAGUGCUCCAAGAUCAUGCUGCAAAGACAGUCCGUCUGGUUCCAUCUCAUCCAACUUUCAUGGCUUCCCAGGAUUUGCAUCAGUGCAAAUAUGACCAAAUCUGGGAGAACAUUUAUAGCAACAUCAACCUCUACCAGGAUGAAAAUAUGAAGGAAGAUGACCUUUCAAUGGAACGAAAUGAAAAUGGCCUAGCACAAAUAAGUCUCAGCCAACAUGCUGACGAGGCUGUCAAGCAGGAAAAAGAGACAGGGUACAGCUUUGCAAGGGCCCUACAAUUGCUGGGCUUGGAUGACAGAACUUGGCCCAGUGAUAGGCAACCUGUCCUGAUGAGAGGGACCUACUUGUCCUUUCUGUAUCUGCGUCACCUGCGAAUCAGGGAGCUGCAGCGCAUCUGCUUAGGAAUUCUGAACUAUUUCAGAUCUGUUGAGCGAACGCUGACCAUCAACACUGCAGGCCUUACCUUGGUUGCAGGGAGCCUGGUCCCCACCAAAGAAGAUAGUUCCUGGGUAACGAUGGCCAAAGGAGGCUUGGGCACCUUGCAAGGCCUAGGAGCUCACCGCUAUGUCCAUGGGACAUGUGCUGAGCACAAGGUCCACAGCAUCCAAUUCAUGGAGUUCUCAGAAGUGGAGAACCAGGAUGACUACUACAGCACAGGAGCUGGCUACAUCCACACCCAGGACCCGCAAGGAGUGCAUGUCAUGUAUGACAAAGCCUUGAGUGAUCUGAAGGAACUAGAGAUGGACCUCCUGCUCGUGGCCAGCCAUUACAUUGAGAAAGAAAAAGGUCGCAAAGAGGGCAGUGAGUCAAGUACUGGCCAGGACUGGGGAUGGGCCCACGCAGGUGUGGACAGAUUUGCUGUGCUGUAUGACAUGUGGACUUGGGAAGCAGCUCUUCUAGAAAACAAGCGCCAGCUUCUUGACAGUUACUUUGAAGCCUACCAGCACGUGCUGGACCCCGAGGAGAGGUGUGCCUUAGCACAAGUGAUCACUGACAUCAUGCACAGGUGCCCAAGGUUUGAUCUCAGCCACCCUUAUUUCAUUAAGGCCUACCAAGAUGAAUGCACCUGCCUGAGGCUUCACCUGCAGCUGGUCAGGGGCAUCCUCAACCAGCACAUAGAGCGUCAGCGGGAGUAUGUCCAGAGGCUCUGGCAACAAGGCCCUCCAGAUGAUAGCAAUAAAUUUGGACUUCCCCUUAACGUAAUUUGCAAACAACUUAUUUCCAUCAACAAUAGCUGGUAA
rnacentral:lncRNA from 1 species